rnacentral:tRNA from 1 species
GCGCCCGUAGCGUAGCCUGGAAUCGCAGCGAAUUUAUGAUUCGCUCAACGCGUCCUUCUGAUACAGGGAUGAUCGCAGGUUCAAAUCCUGCCGGGCGCA